GACAGAGGCCUCGAGCGUUAGGCGGAAUCACUGGGCUUAAAGCGUGUGUAGGCGGGCCCGUAAGUGUCUUGUGAAAUCCCACGGCUCAACCGUGGAACUGCUGGGCAUACUGCGGGUCUUGGGCCAACUAGGGGCAGCCGGAACAAGCGGUGGAGCGGUGAAAUGCGUAAAUAUCGCUUGGAACGCCGAAGGUGAAAACAGGCUGCUGGGGUUGCGCCGACGCUGAGACACGAAAGCCAGGGGAGCAAACGGG
rnacentral:rRNA from 1 species